rnacentral:lncRNA from 1 species
GUUGUCAUCGUUGGGGCCGAUUUUGGGUUCUUCAUCUUUAUCGGGGCCAGUUUUGGGUUCGUCAUCUUCGUUGGGGUCAACGUUGGGUUCGUCAUCAUCAUCGUUGGGUCCAAUUUUGGGUUCUUCGUCUUCGUUGGGGUCAACGUUGGGUUCGUCAGCGUCGUUGGGUCCAAUUUUGGGUUCUUCAUCUUCGUUGGGGUCAACGUUGGGUUCGUCAUCAUCGUCGUUGGGUCCAAUUUUGGGUUCUUCGUCUUCGUUGGGGUCAACGUUGGGUUCUUCGUCUUCGUUGGGUCCAAUUUUGGGUGCUUCGUCUUCAUCGGGGCCGAUUUUGGGUUCUUCGUCUUCGUUGGGGUCAACGUUGGGUUCUGCACAAUCAUUGAGUCCAAUUUUGGGUUCGUGGUCGUCGUCGUUGGGUCCAAACUUGGGGUCCUCAUUGGGUUCUUCACAAUCAUUGAGUCCAAUCUUGGGUUCUUCGUCUUCGUUGGAUCCAACUUUGGGUUCUUCAUCUUCAUUGGGGCCAAUUUUGGGUUCUUCGUCUUCAUUGGAUCCAACGUUGGGUUCGUCGUCUUCGUUGGGUCCAGUUUUGGUUUCUUCGUCGUCGUUGGGUCCAACGUUGGGUUCUUCAUCUUCAAAGAGGCCAACGGGGCCAACGAUGGACUCAACGUUGGGUUUAACGCCGUUGUCGGGGUCAACGUUGGGUUCUUCAUCAACGUUGGGUCCAACAUUGGGUUCUUCAUCAACGUUGGGUUCAACGCCGCCGUUGGGUUCAACGUUGGGUCCAACAUUGGGUUCCUCUUCAGCCAUGGGUUCUUCUCCAACGUUGGGC